UACGAAGGGGGGCUAGCGUUGUUCGGAAUUACUGGGCGUAAAGCGCGCGCAGGCGGUCUUCCAAGUCAGUGGUGAAAGCCCGGAGCUCAACUCCGGAACUGCCAUUGAAACUGUUGGACUUGAGUACAAGAGAGGUGAGUGGAAUUCCCAGUGUAGAGGUGAAAUUCGUAGAUAUUGGGAAGAACACCUGUGGCGAAAGCGGCUCACUGGACCACAACUGACGCUGAGGCGCGAAAGCUAGGGGAGCAAACAGG
rnacentral:rRNA from 1 species